CUUUCUCACCACCAGUACAUGAGGAUUCCUUUCUCUCCACAUUCUCACCAACACUUAUUUCUUAUCUUUGUCACCUUAGUAUAAGUAGUUUUUAUUUGCAUUUCCCUGAUGAUUAGGGAUGUUGAGAAUUUUUUCAAGUAUCUGUUGAGUUGUUGUAUGUCUUCUUUGGAAAAAUGUUCUUGUCUUCUGUCCAUUUUUAAUUGGACUUCUUUUGGUAUUGCUUAUAUUUUGGUGUUGGUUUGGUUUUGGUUUGGUUAUAUAAGUUCUUUAUAUAUUUUAGAUAUUAACCCUUUAUAAGACAUAUUAUUUGCAAAUAUCUUCUCCCAUUCAGUAGGUUGUUUUUUUGUUUUAUUGAUGGUUUCCUAUCACCUGUUUGAUUCUGAUGUGUUUUUACAUGGUUGUAUCCUGUCAGUUCUUCACUUUUUGGCCUUCCUGAUUUGGAGCUCAUCCCUAGUCUUGGCAGUCAGGUCUAAAGUUUCUAUUAUUAUUCUAAACUAAUCUGGCUCUCUGGUAUCACCCAUUGUCAGGAGAGUAAUCCUUGUUUCUACCUCAUGCUUUUGGAAACCAACCCCAAUAUGGUCAUGGUGAGCUCUGCCCUGUUUCUCCUUCAACAAAAGAAGCUGGAAGCCUAACUUGGUAUGUGCCAUGCCUUCCUACUGCUACAAGGUAUUCCUCCCCACUGUCUCAAAUUUGGUUUAGUAUAGCUGACCCUAAGUAUCCAGUCUUGUGAUACCAGUUGAAUUGGGCAUAAUAUAAGGUGAGGCAGUUGUGUCUGAACUCUGAUGUACAUGGUUACUUGGUCUACUGCUACCUGCUGUGGGAAGGGCCUUCCAGUCUACAAAAGAUCAUAUAUCCUGGUGGUAGGGUUGAAACCUGCCUAGCUUUGUAUCGUAUCCACACUGAACUCCAAUCCCCCACCAAAGUAUAUGUGUCUACUGAUGAACUUGUCUGAUUCACACCCAUCCUGGCAACCAGGGAAUCAAAAAUAUAGCCAAAGACUCAAUAGUUUAAUUAAUUAAUUUUUUAAACCUUUUAUUUAUUUAUUUGACAGAGGAUAGCGAGAGCCAGAGAGCACAAGUGGAGGAAUGGCAGAGGGAGAGGGAGAAGCAGGAUCCCAGCUGAGCAGGGAGCCAGAUGUGGGACUUGAUCCCAGGACCCUGGGAUCAUGACCUGAGCCAGAGGUGGAUGCUUAACUGACUGAGCCAACCCAGGCACCCCUUAAUGGAUUAAUUAAAAAAAAUAUUUAUUGGGUACCUACUAGGUACUAAGGCAUUAUUCAAAUCAUUAGUAAUAUACUAUUGAAAGAAAUGAUCUUGGCUCUUGUGCAGUUUCUAUUUUAGAGGAGGUAGACAAAUAAAUAAAUGUAAAAUACAUCAGGGAUGAUAAGUGCCAAGAAGAAAAAUAAAGCAGCUAAGGAGGUGUCUUAACUUGGUUGACUCCCAAAACAAUGGUUUAAGUGUAGGUAGUUUAUCUUGGGUAGAUCCCAAGGUACAGGUUUGAGGCAACUGGGAAGAAUGAAGCAGUAAAGGAGGAAAAGCCCAUCUUAGAGUGCAUCACUGCUGCAGUCAACUGGGACUCAGUCCUCAUGGGGAUCUUCUGAGGAAAUUUAUUGAAUGUGCCUUACAAUUGUCCACCCAAAUCACAGGAGAUGGCAGUAUUUAUCCAUAGCUCCUGUACCCCAUAGGUUAAGGACUGUCACAUUUGGUUCCAGGUUUGAGCAUAUGCCAGGGUGGCUAAGUGGGCUCAUAUAGGCAGAAACAGGAAAGAAGCCUAAGGGCAAAAACAAGAGCUAUGCAGCAGAGCUGGGGAGAGGCUGUUGGUCUAUACUUGUGUGAAGCUAGUAGUCACAGUGAUGGCUGGAGAGAAAAGUGGGCUAGAGGACAUAAAAUGAGACAAGGGUGGGGAUGAGGUGGAUAAUGUUAUAUAAGCUGCUCAGAGAAGGCAUUGGACUACACUCUGUGUGCUGUAUGCCCACUGUCACCCCCAAAGUUUGCUGCCAUUCGGGAAAAAAUGGCCAGAAGAGCAGUCAUGGCAACUUGACUCACAUCUUAAGAAUGCUUUAGAAUAGUGGUUCUCAAACUUGGCUUCUGUGAAGCACCUUUGGGGGCUGCUGAAGUGGUGGUGGGAGAAAGAAGUGAGUUAGAAGGGGCCAAUGUGUGGGAAUCUGGGUCCCAUCAACUACUUCAACCAGAAGAACUCUUUCACCCACUUUACAUAUGGACCUUUACCAUAAUAAUUCUAGAGCUAAAAUGAAUUUGGAAAUCACAAGAUCACAUCAGGAAAUUCCACUAGGAGAACCAGGGAGGUCCCAAACCAGGAAUGAACUGUCCAUCUCAACUUUGGCCAUCGAGCUGGGCUGAUAUGCAAUGAACCAUAAAAGAAAGCUGCAAAUAUCAACCUGUGUUCAAGAAGCCACGAUAAAGGCUCUUGCCCACAUUUGCCUCUUGACCAAUGAUGGGUAUUUCCCAUGUGGACCUUCAUGAUGUGCCAAGCCUCCUGUUUCUAGGGAUCUAGAGCCCAUUUAUCAGCACACCACUGAGUAACUGUGUCAUGUAUAACACAUGGAAGGAAAUGAGGAUGCUUCAAAGAUCUUUGCCCAAAUGUGAAGUUGGGAAGAGAGGCACAAUCGGCUCUUUUGAACUGGUACUGGCAGACUACAGUGCACCACUGGGAGGCUAACUUGUGAAUAGCCGUCCAUAAGAAGUUAAAUUGAAAUGCGUUGAAUCUGACAACACAACCACAGAAGAUGAGAAAAAUGUUCAGAAAUAUAUGUGAACUUUGAGAAACUUUACCAAUCAAAUGCCACCCAAGGAAAGAAACCCUUCUGGGAUAAAAAUCCUUUUACUGAAUCGUGUAAAGGCUUUAGGAGUGUUUCAGAAGAAAGGCACCCUGGAAUGUUUAAGUUAUUUUUAUCACUUUUAUUGGAAAGGCCAUUUCUCUGCUCUAAGGCUGAAUUUUCUGAUGCAAGUUCGGUGGCUUUGGGAUGAAUCUGAAUGCAGUUUUCAGAGCAGUGAGAAAAAUCAUGCAGUGUUAAGAUGCCAAGCUUCCUCCAAUAAAUCUUUUGAAAAUAACUGAUAAAGAUGCUUAGGGCUUUUCUGAAUUCCUGUGAGGUAUAGCAUUCAAAGAAGCUGGUAGUUUGGAACAGUGCUUUCCUUUGAUUAUAGACUGUUGAAUUCUCAAAUGCCACAUAGCAAUAUAAGAGCAAAAUAUAUUCAUUUUUAACUCACAGUGGACAAAAUACAUAGGUACAGUCUUCACUUUGAGGCUGAGGAGGUAGAUGUGGAUGCAUCAGUCAAGUUAUCUUGUUGACUGAUCUUGAUGAUCAUUACCAAUGCCAUGGCCAUCAGGAGGGAGGGAAAUGAUAGUAUAAGCUGUUUCAGGCAUUUGGCAAAGAUAAUCAAAUACCAGGAGGAAGAAAUGGGAUAGAGCAGAAACAAAUACAACAAAAGUCCUCAUAAAUCAAGAGAUCCAAUCUGGCCAAUGGCCAAUGACCUACAUAAUAGCACAUAGUAAUUAAUAUCAUAUGAUUCUAAUACAGGGGAAAACAUUGUAUUGUUUCUGGAGUUUGGACAUUUUGUGAAUUUUGGGGGUUUUAGGAUUUUAAUGCUGCUUUGUAACACAAUUUGAACUUUACUUUUCAAAAAGAUUUAAAUUUAUUUUGAGAGAAAGAGAGCACGAGUGCAGGGAGGGGCAGAGGCAGAGGGAGAGGGAGAAUCUCAAGCAAACACCACACUGAAUGCAGAGCCCAGUGUGGGGCUCGAUCUCAUUACCCUGAGAUCAUGACCUGAGCCAAAAUCAAGAGUCAGACGCUUAACAGAUUGAGCCACCCAGACACCUCUGAACUUUACUUUUUAAAAAAUAUUUAUUUAAGUAAUCUCUACCCCCAACGUAGGGCUCAAACUCAUGAUCCCAAGAUCAAGAGUGGCAUGCUUCACCAGCUGAGCCAGCCAGGCAGCCCCCCAACUUUUUUUUUCUUCACAAAUUGAACUUUAAAAUUUCUCCUAUAUACCAAAAGUCAUUCACUUAAUAAUAACAAUAGUCUACACAUACCAUGCUUCUUAUAUACCAGACAUCAUAGUUUACAAAUACUAUCCCACCAUAAUCCUUUAAGAUAGAGGAUUGUUUCUGCCCCCAUUUUGCAGAAGAGAAAACUGAAUCACAGAGAGGUUAACUUGCCCAAGGUUAUACAACUAUUUGGUGGCAGACCUGGGAUUCAAACCCAGUUAAUCCAGCUUAAAUAUCAAGGCCUUUAUACUACUACACCACACACUGCAGUUUAUAUUUUUAUUGAGCAUCUAUUAAGGACAUAGCACUUUGCUUAUUUAUGUAGAUGAUGUGAAGUAUGAGACAGGAUUUUUUUUUUUAAUUCUUUUAAUAAAUAACAUUCAGUAUUUUUCAACUUUCCAAAACCCAUGCAUGUAUACAUAGCAUUGCUUAGCGUUUUGCCUCAGUCUUUGGUGCCAUCUGUACUGAAAAUCCCCCAAAUAGUGAAAAUAGCUUACUGGCAGAGAAGAGCUGAUAAUAGGACACUUAAUACGCAUCUUUCCCGACGGUAAGAUCUGGAUCCGCUGGAGCAAACAAAUGGCUUAGUGAUGGCUCUCUGGGCUGUAGGCUUAUGCUGCACAUUCCUACUCUGAUAUUAGUAAUGAGAGAGCUCCCCUAGCCUCCAUGCCCAGUCCACUCCUCUGUUUCUCCAAGAGACAAUUUCCCGGUGGAAAGUGGCAUAUUAAAGGCCAAGACUCAUCUCUGGAUUGCCUUGGAUCUCCUUUCACUAUAACUAAAGUCUAAUAAUAAUAACAACAACAUUAAUUAGACACAUAUGUUGCUUAGCACUGCCCUAUACAGCACUGAUUUGUUAUAAUAUUCUCACCACAGAAAUAUUUUUAUUAAAAAUAGAGACUAUAUAAAGCCAUUAUAGUGAGCCAGAGUAUAAUUAGAAUGGUGAAGCAUAUGAAAUUACCAAAGGCUCUGAAGUUAAAUUCAACCUUUCUGACCUACAAAAAAAAAAUGUUUUCUUAUAUACAAUGAGUAUAGUACAUAGAGUAUCCUAAGUUCUUACCCAAUGAACCAACUUCCCAUAGGGCGCUUUACUUAAUCUCAAUGAGGUUUAACUCUCUGGUCUUUCUUCCAUUAUUGGAUAUUCUUGUGGUCCAACUCUGACUCACCAAAUUAAAAAGGGUACACAGGUGACAGGGCCUCAGAUGCAGCAGAGCUUCACGGAAGAGCUGAAGGAUGAUGUGAAAUGCAGGCUUAGUGGCUAGUGGCCUUCCCAAGGGAAUGUCAGAAAAGCACAAGGUGAAAAUCAGCUGCCACGUAGAGGGCCAUGCAAGAAAUAACACAUUAUGAAGAGCAUCAUAAGCAUCGUUGUUGCACUGGAAAAAUAGAACAGAGACAUGUCACAACUUUGGGAAGUAUAAGAAGAAUGAGUAACUGUCAAGAUUGCCUUUUCAUAGGGAUUAUCCCUGGCAACCCAUGUUUCCAGAAAGAAUUCUCUAUAUUAAACAGUGCCCACUUCCUAGGACUCUAAGGAGAUGGUCUCUGUAUGAAGAAAAGGAAAAAUCCAAAAGAGCUCAGUGGAAGACUGAAAAAAGAAAACUUGGGCCAGCCCUUUGCUGUAUAUAGAAGAGGCUCUCAGCCAAAGGGCCAUUGAUUACCUCAGAAUAUGAAGUAAACGAUAUGAUGUCUUUGAAAGAAAUAUGUUGAACCACGCUUGCAGCCCAGGAAAAAAUCCCACUUGGUCGUGGAAAUAAUCCUUUGAAUGUACUGUUGGAUCCUGUUGGCUAGUAUUUUGAGUCCAGUGCCCACCAGGGGCUGGGAUAGCACCUUCGUCCUGAGUCAAACCCCUGCUCAUCUACCCGACCCCAGGAAAAGGGCCUAUGUAAGGGGACAUGCACCUGCUGGAGACAGACACUUUCCUUAAAACAUCUAUCUGAAGCCACGUCAAGGGGAAUUUCCUAACACCUAAUAGAAUGAAAAAGAAAAGGAAGGCCCACUCUUUUAUCCUGGCCCACUCUCUGAAAAGUUAACCUUACAGGAAGAUAAAAUGUGUACUUGGUGUAGGAGUGCUGACAACACCGACUCCAUCUUUGGUCCUCUAGCACACAGGUGGCACCACUUUAGAUAACUACCCUGUGACGGCACCACCACACCCCUGGCGCCAUAAAAGCUGGGGAUUAAGGUCUGGAGAGUGGCAAAGAAUUGCUGCAUAUUACCGUCCUGACCAACCAACCAACCAACCAACCAACCAACCAACCAACCAACCAACCUUUCAGGUAACCUAGAAGAAAUGGCUAAAUUCCUAGAAGCAUACAACCUCCCAGAACUGAAUCAGAAAGAAACAGAAAAUCUGAACAGACUGAUUACCAGCAAGGAAACCGAAUCCCAACAAAAGUCUAGAACCAGAUGUCUUCAUAGGUGAAUUCUAUCAAACAUUUAAAGAAGAGUUAAUGCCUCUUCUCAAACUAUUUCAAGAAACAGAAGAGGAAGAAAAGCUUUCCUUCAAACUUCAUUCUAUGAGGCUUUUUGAAGAACUAUAUUUAUGUAUGUCUCAUAUAAAAGUACAGAGUUGGGGUUUGCUUCAUGAGCCAAUUUGAAAAGUUCUUUGGUUAUUUCAUCAUUUUGCCUCAAGACUCAGAGGAAGUUCUCAAAAUCUAGUAGUUUUACCCAGCUAUGUGAAGAAGCUGAGGGUCCCAAGUCCAUUUUCCAUGGCACCUACUAGGUAGGCCUUUUUAACAUAUAUAUUAAGAUACUGUUUUAUUUCUGGUAAUUUGUUAUUUCUGUUUUUGAUUUUUUUCCCUUCAAUCAGGAACUCCAAUUAUACAUAUGUUGGGCUUCAUUGCCUCUUCAUUUUAACCAAUUUUUUCUAACCUUUUUAACUACUUGACCCCAUUUUCUGGAUUACUUUCCUAAUUUUCAUCCAUGUCCUUUAUUAAAUUUUCAUUUGAAUUUGUUUACUGUGGGGUGUUUUAGUCAUAACUCCAGAUAUGAAUUUGCCUUUUUCUUUCUUGAGUCUAAAAUUCUACUUUUUUUUUCCCUUUCUUGGCCACUUCCUUUUUUAAGUUUUUGAAUUUUUUUCUUAAGUAGGCUGUAUGGCCAGCGUGGAGCCCAAAGUGGGGCUUGAACUCAUGACCCUAAGAUCAAAACCUGAGCUGAGAUCAAGAGUUGAAUGCUUAACCAACUGAGCUGUGCAAGGUACCCCUCAGUUUUUGAAUUUUUGACCUGACUCUAAAUCUUCCAAUUAUUCAGCCUCAUGACUUAGGAGAAGUCAAAGUUCAUGCAAUCAAGAAUGAUGUCAGAGUCUUGCAAGGAAAAGGUGACAAGCUCAAAGCAAAAAACACAUUUAAGACCUCACUGGGCAAUUAGAUAUUAUUGCUGGUAAAUAUGAAGAAAUGUGGCAAAACUUUUAAUAUAGAUUAUACUGAAGAUUGAUGACACAAGUGGUUGCAGAUAUAAUAAAUGCUAUACAAGAUGUCCAUUCUUGGAGGUGAUUAUGCUCUGCUUGAAUGCUCACAGUUGUGUCUAGGGUUCACCGAUCUGGAAUCCGUGUCUAGAUCAGCUGAUCCAUAGUUUUCAUCAAAUUUGGAAAAUAUUUCUUUAAAUAUUUGUCAGGUCCCCUUUUGGGGAACUCCAAAUUGCAUAUAUACAAAGCCACCUGUGACUGUACCACAGCUCAGUGAUGUUCUGUUCACUGAUUUUAAAUUAUAUUUGUAUUUCCUUUGUAUAGUUACUAUUGCAAUGUCCUCCUAUUUCUUCUGCAAUAUCUAACUUGUUAAUCUUAUCCAAUGGAUUUUCACCCCCAGACAAUGUAGUUUUUAUCUCUAGAAGUUCAGUUUCAUUAUACCUUUCAUGUUCCUUUUUGAAUAAAGGGAAGAGUUAUUAAGUUGUAACUAACAGAACUGGUAGUUAUAAUAACUAGUUAACACUGUCAUUUCUAGGGUAAUUUCAAUCAACUGAUUUUUCUCAUUAUGAGUGUGUUUUCCUGCUGCUUUGUAUGUCUGGUAACUUUUGACUGAAUGCCAAACAUUAUGAACCUUUGUUGGGUUAUGGAUAUUUUGGUAUUCCUAGAAAUCUUCUUGAGCUUUGUUCUUGGACGCAAAAUAGUUACUUGGAAACAGUUUGUUCUUUGCGGGUAUUUUAAGAUCUCUUGGGCAGGACUGGAGUAGUACUUAAUCCAACCUUAGCUGUUUCCCUGCUAUUAAAGCAAGACACUUCUAUAUACUUUACCCAAUACCCUAUGAAUCCAAGGUUUCCCAGUGGGGCUGGUAGGAACAGGUACUAUACUCAGCCCUGUCUGUUGGCCACCAUCCCCUCUCAUCAUUUUGGCUGGUUCUCUCCCCAGCCUCCAGUAGUUUCUUCAUACACAUGUGUACUGAUCAAUACUUGAAGGGAGGCCCCACAGCUCUCUGGUGUUCUCCUUCUAUGCAGCUCUCCCUCUCCAGUGCUCUGUCCUGCAAAUUAAUGGCCUCAGUCACCCCAGGCUCUCAGCGUCAUCUCUUCAACUCCAGGGUUGCCCAGGUUCCACCUAGGUUCCCCUCCCUCAGCAACUAUUUAUACUUCCUUAAGGCAGUUAGCUGGGGCUGUCGUAGAACUCACCUCCUAUGUUUCAUGUGUCU